GCCCUGAUAGCUCAAUAUGGAUAGAGCAGAUCCGUCCUAAGGAUAAGGUUGGAGGUUCAACUCCUCUUCAGGGCA
rfam:Candidatus Endomicrobium trichonymphae strain CET450 CET450_Contig643, whole genome shotgun sequence.